rnacentral:rRNA from 1 species
GGGUUGUGAGGUUAAGCGACUAAGCGUACACGGUGGAUGCCCUGGCAGUCAGAGGCGAUGAAGGACGUGCUAAUCUGCGAAAAGCGUCGGUAAGGUGAUAUGAACCGUUACAGCCGGCGAUGUCCGAAUGGGGAAACCCAGUGUGAUUCGUCACACUAUCGUUAACUGAAUACAUAGGUUAACGAGGCGAACCGGGGGAACUGAAACAUCUAAGUACCCCGAGGAAAAGAAAUCAACCGAGAUUCCCCCAGUAGCGGCGAGCGAACGGGGAGCAGCCCAGAGUCUGAAUCAGCUUGUGUGUUAGUGGAACGGUCUGGAAAGUCCGACGGUACAGGGUGAUAGUCCCGUACACCAAAAUGCACAGGCUGUGAACUCGAAGAGUAGGGCGGGACACGUGGUAUCCUGUCUGAAUAUGGGGGGACCAUCCUCCAAGGCUAAAUACUCCUGACUGACCGAUAGUGAACCAGUACCGUGAGGGAAAGGCGAAAAGAACCCCGGCGAGGGGAGUGAAAAAGAACCUGAAACCGUGUACGUACAAGCAGUGGGAGCACCUUCGGGUGUGACUGCGUACCUUUUGUAUAAUGGGUCAGCGACUUAUAUUCUGUAGCAAGGUUAACCGUAUAGGGGAGCCGCAGGGAAACCGAGUCUUAACUGGGCGUUAAGUUGCAGGGUAUAGACCCGAAACCCGGUGAUCUAGCCAUGGGCAGGUUGAAGGUUGGGUAACACUAACUGGAGGACCGAACCGACUAAUGUUGAAAAAUUAGCGGAUGACUUGUGGCUGGGGGUGAAAGGCCAAUCAAACCGGGAGAUAGCUGGUUCUCCCCGAAAGCUAUUUAGGUAGCGCCUCGUGAACUCAUCUUCGGGGGUAGAGCACUGUUUCGGCUAGGGGGUCAUCCCGACUUACCAACCCGAUGCAAACUACGAAUACCGAAGAAUGUUAUCACGGGAGACACACGGCGGGUGCUAACGUCCGUCGUGAAGAGGGAAACAACCCAGACCGCCAGCUAAGGUCCCAAAGUCAUGGUUAAGUGGGAAACGAUGUGGGAAGGCACAGACAGCCAGGAUGUUGGCUUAGAAGCAGCCAUCAUUUAAAGAAAGCGUAAUAGCUCACUGGUCGAGUCGGCCUGCGCGGAAGAUGUAACGGGGCUAAACCAUGCACCGAAGCUGCGGCAGCGACACUAUGUGUUGUUGGGUAGGGGAGCGUUCUGUAAGCCUGCGAAGGUGUGCUGUGAGGCAUGCUGGAGGUAUCAGAAGUGCGAAUGCUGACAUAAGUAACGAUAAAGCGGGUGAAAAGCCCGCUCGCCGGAAGACCAAGGGUUCCUGUCCAACGUUAAUCGGGGCAGGGUGAGUCGACCCCUAAGGCGAGGCCGAAAGGCGUAGUCGAUGGGAAACAGGUUAAUAUUCCUGUACUUGGUGUUACUGCGAAGGGGGGACGGAGAAGGCUAUGUUAGCCGGGCGACGGUUGUCCCGGUUUAAGCAUGUAGGCUGGUUAUCCAGGCAAAUCCGGAUAAUCAAGGCUGAGGUGUGAUGACGAGGCACUACGGUGCUGAAGUAACAAAUGCCCUGCUUCCAGGAAAAGCCUCUAAGCAUCAGGUAACAUCAAAUCGUACCCCAAACCGACACAGGUGGUCAGGUAGAGAAUACCAAGGCGCUUGAGAGAACUCGGGUGAAGGAACUAGGCAAAAUGGUGCCGUAACUUCGGGAGAAGGCACGCUGGUGUGUAGGUGAAGCCCCUGCGGGUGGAGCUGAGACCAGUCGAAGAUACCAGCUGGCUGCAACUGUUUAUUAAAAACACAGCACUGUGCAAACACGAAAGUGGACGUAUACGGUGUGACGCCUGCCCGGUGCCGGAAGGUUAAUUGAUGGGGUUAUCCGUAAGGAGAAGCUCUUGAUCGAAGCCCCGGUAAACGGCGGCCGUAACUAUAACGGUCCUAAGGUAGCGAAAUUCCUUGUCGGGUAAGUUCCGACCUGCACGAAUGGCGUAAUGAUGGCCAGGCUGUCUCCACCCGAGACUCAGUGAAAUUGAACUCGCUGUGAAGAUGCAGUGUACCCGCGGCAAGACGGAAAGACCCCGUGAACCUUUACUAUAGCUUGACACUGAACAUUGAGCCUUGAUGUGUAGGAUAGGUGGGAGGCUUUGAAGCGUGGACGCCAGUCUGCGUGGAGCCAACCUUGAAAUACCACCCUUUAAUGUUUGAUGUUCUAACGUUGGCCCCUUACCGGGGUUGCGGACAGUGUCUGGUGGGUAGUUUGACUGGGGCGGUCUCCUCCCAAAGCGUAACGGAGGAGCACGAAGGUUAGCUAAUCCUGGUCGGACAUCAGGAGGUUAGUGCAAUGGCAUAAGCUAGCUUGACUGCGAGCGUGACGGCGCGAGCAGGUGCGAAAGCAGGUCAUAGUGAUCCGGUGGUUCUGAAUGGAAGGGCCAUCGCUCAACGGAUAAAAGGUACUCCGGGGAUAACAGGCUGAUACCGCCCAAGAGUUCAUAUCGACGGCGGUGUUUGGCACCUCGAUGUCGGCUCAUCACAUCCUGGGGCUGAAGUAGGUCCCAAGGGUAUGGCUGUUCGCCAUUUAAAGUGGUACGCGAGCUGGGUUUAGAACGUCGUGAGACAGUUCGGUCCCUAUCUGCCGUGGGCGCUGGAGAAUUGAGGGGGGCUGCUCCUAGUACGAGAGGACCGGAGUGGACGCAUCACUGGUGUUCGGGUUGUCAUGCCAAUGGCACUGCCCGGUAGCUAAAUGCGGAAGAGAUAAGUGCUGAAAGCAUCUAAGCACGAAACUUGCCCCGAGAUGAGUUCUCCCUGAGACUUUAAGUCUCCUGAAGGAACGUUAAAGACGAUGACGUUGAUAGGCCGGGUGUGUAAGCGCAGCGAUGCGUUGAGCUAACCGGUACUAAUGAACCGUGAGGCUUAACCUUACAACGCCGAAG